GACGAACGCUGGCGGCGUGCUUAACACAUGCAAGUCGAACGGAAAGGCCCUGCUUUUGUGGGGUGCUCGAGUGGCGAACGGGUGAGUAACACGUGAGUAACCUGCCCUUGACUUUGGGAUAACUUCAGGAAGCUGGGGCUAAUACCGGAUCGGAGCUCCUGCUGCAUGGUGGGGGUUGGAAAGUUUCGGCGGUUGGGGAUGGACUCGCGGCUUAUCAGCUUGUUGGUGGGGUAGUGGCUUACCAAGGCUUUGACGGGUAGCCGGCCUGAGAGGGUGACCGGCCACAUUGGGACUGAGAUACGGCCCAGACUCCUACGGGAGGCAGCAGUGGGGAAUAUUGCACAAUGGGCGGAAGCCUGAUGCAGCAACGCCGCGUGCGGGAUGACGGCCUUCGGGUUGUAAACCGCUUUCGCCUGUGACGAAGCGUUAGUGACGGUAAUGGGUAAAGAAGCACCGGCUAACUACGUG
rnacentral:rRNA from 1 species